rnacentral:rRNA from 1 species
AACGAACGCUGGCGGCAUGCCUAACACAUGCAAGUCGAACGAGACCUUCGGGUCUAGUGGCGCACGGGUGCGUAACGCGUGGGAACCUGCCCUUAGGUUCGGAAUAACUCCCCGAAAGGGGUGCUAAUACCGGAUAAUGUCUUCGGACCAAAGAUUUAUCGCCUUUGGAUGGGCCCGCGUUGGAUUAGCUAGUUGGUAGGGUAAAAGCCUACCAAGGCGACGAUCCAUAGCUGGUCUGAGAGGAUGAUCAGCCACACUGGGACUGAGACACGGCCCAGACUCCUACGGGAGGGAGGAGUGGGGGAUAAUGGGCCAAGGGGGAAAGCCUGAUCCAGCAAUGCCGCGUGAGUGAUGAAGGCCUUAGGGUUGUAAAGCUCUUUUACCCGGGAUGAUAAUGACAGUACCGGGAGAAUAAGCUCCGGCUAACUCCGUG